AUCAACAACAGAGGAGCUUCAGGGUGGUAUGUACUGUCAUUCUUAGAGAAGAGCUGAAAAAAAAAUAUGCUGGAGCCAAAGCGGAACAAAUAAUGUGCAGAGGUGGGUGCUUACUAGUAUUUAUUCAACAUUUUUGUUAGCUAAACCAAAUCAUAACCCAUGUUUGUCUUUUUAAGGGGGAAAUAAUAAGGGCAUCAUAAAACUGGAGUAAACAGUUAUUAUUGCCUAAGGAACGGGAUCUGUGGUCUGGAAGACACCAUGGCCUGGCAAGAACAUCACAUUCUCCGCGUGUUGCUGGACAGCUCAAGGGUCCUGCUCUGCUGUCCCCAUCUGACACCACAGCUCAGGCCAUUGUGCUGACAUGGGCUCCAUUCACCCCAGACGCCAAAGACACUGAACACACAUCCUUCUGGAGUCCAAAGAGAUUUCCUGUUUCCCUGCUCUGUUUAGUUUCGGUUUCCUGGAUUACUGAUUAUGUUCUCAUUUGUUUCUAUGGUUACUUAUAAUUUGCGCCUGUCUUUCAUUAUUUUCACCUUGUGUUAUACUCUCUGUUAUAUUCAGUCCCUUGUCAGUUCUAGUUUAUUAGUUAAAGUUGUUAGCGUGUAUUCCUAUGUGAGUUCCUGUGUUUGUUGGUUUCAAAUAAAAACUGUUCUAUUGUACCUAGUGUGCUAUAUAAUGAAAUGCGACUUGACUUGAUCUUUUUUUAAAAAGCAAGUAAGCUGUUUUUGCACAACAUCAAGUUAAUGGCAUGUGAAUACCCUAGUAAAUGCAACCAGAAAUUUUCUCUAAGCCCAAACCUGCUGCUUUUUAUUGCCACACAUGAGAAAACAUCUUGAUGUAAUUGUUCCUAUAAAACAUGACUGAUAGGUUUCUUUCAGUAUGAUAAUGAGAGUUUAAUGGCAUCUACCCAUAAAGAAGGUCUGAAAACGAAUAA